rnacentral:rRNA from 1 species
AGGUUACUGCUAUCGAGGUUCGACUAAGCCAUGCGAGUCGAAUGUAGCAAUACAUGGCGUACUGCUCAGUAACACGUGGACAACCUACCCUCCGGACGGGUAUAAACCCGGGAAACUGGGUAUAAUCCCCGAUAGAUCUCGGUCGCUGGAAAGCCCCGAGAUCGAAAGCUCCGGCGCCAGAGGAUGGGUCUGCGGCCUAUCAGGUAGUAGUGGGUGUAGCGUACCUACUAGCCUACGACGGGUACGGGUUGUGAGAGCAAGAGCCCGGAGAUGGAUUCUGAGACACGAAUCCAGGCCCUACGGGGUGCAGCAGGCGCGAAAACUUUACAAUGCCGGCAACGGCGAUAAGGGGACCUCGAGUGCCAGGUUACAAAUCUGGCUGUCGUGAUGCCUAAAAAGCAUUGCAUAGCAAGGGCCGGGCAAGACCGGUGCCAGCCGCCGCGGUAACACCGGCGGCUCGAGUGGUAACCGUUAUUAUUGGGUCUAAAGGGUCUGUAGCCGGCCAGAUAAGUCUCUUGAGAAAUCCAGCAGCUCAACUGUUGGGCUUUCAGGAGAUACUGUCUGGCUCGAGGCCGGGAGAGGUGAGAGGUACUUCAGGGGUAGGGGUGAAAUCUUGUAAUCCUUGAAGGACCACCAGUGGCGAAGGCGUCUCACCAGAACGGACCUGACGGCAAGGGACGAAAGCUAGGGGCACGAACCGGAUUAGAUACCCGGGUAGUCCUAGCCGUAAACGAUACUCGCUAGGUGUCGGCCGCGGUGCGACCGCUGUCGGUGCCGUAGGGAAGCCGUGAAGCGAGCCACCUGGGAAGUACGGCCGCAAGGCUGAAACUUAAAGGAAUUGGCGGGGG